UACAGAGGUCCCAAGCGUUGUUCGGAUUCACUGGGCGUAAAGGGUGCGUAGGUGGUCGAGUAAGUCUGAUGUGAAAUCUUCGAGCUCAACCCGAAAAUGGCAUUGGAUACUAUUCGGCUGGAGGGUUGGAAGGGGGACUGGAAUUCUCGGUGUAGCAGUGAAAUGCGUAGAUAUCGGGAGGAACACCAGUGGCGAAGGCGGCUUCCUGGCCUGUUCUUGACGCUGAGGCGCGAAAGCUAGGGGAGCAAACGGG
rnacentral:rRNA from 1 species